UGACAAGAGAAGGCUUACCAUCCCACCACAGAUGGCGUACGGGGCGAAGGGUGUUCCUGGAACAAUCCCUGGUAACGCUUGGCUUACAUUUGAUGUCGAGCUUGUUAAUGUCAAGUGACAGAGCUCGCGUUGCAGAGGAUGAGUUGGGUGUUUUCAUAGAUCGGUCUUCCUUCCCUGCCCACCUGAUUAGGGGUUGAGAGUAAGAAGCAUGUCACUUUACGCUUGUUAGUUGAGCAUAGUGUGGUUUUAUCCCUGCCUGAGUUCUGAAGAGAUUUUUGUUCCCAUCUUCUGCGAGUAGAUUUAAUUCAGAUUUUGAUCAACAAUUUAG
rnacentral:lncRNA from 1 species